GUGCUUGCUUUGGCAGCACACAUACUAAAAUUGGAACAAUACAGAGAAGAUUAGCAUGGCCCUUGUGCAAGGAUGACAUGCAAAUUCAUGAAGUGUUCCAUAUUUUU
ensembl:snRNA U6 U6 spliceosomal RNA